rnacentral:rRNA from 1 species
GACGGAAGGUGCAAGCGUUGCUCGGAAUCACUGGGCGUAAAGGGCGCGUAGGCGGUCUGGUAAGCGUGUGGUGAAAGCCCGGGGCUCAACCCCGGGUCUGCCGUGCGAACUGCCAGACUUGAGCACUGUAGAGGCAGGUGGAAUUCCGAGUGUAGCGGUGGAAUGCGUAGAGAUUCGGAGGAGCACCGGUGGCGAAGGCGGCCUGCUGGGCAGUGUCUGACGCUGAGGCGCGACAGCGUGGGGAGCAAACAGG